CGUGUAGGCGGUUUGUUAAGUCAUGUGUGAAAUCCCUCGGCUCAACCGGGGAACGACGCAUGAAACUGGCAAGCUAGAGUACCAAAGAGGGGGGUGGAAUUCCCGGUGUAGCGGUGAAAUGCGUAGAUAUCCGGAAGAACACCGGUGGCGAAGGCGGCUUGCUGGGACAGUGCUGACGCUGAGGCGCGACAGCGUGGGGAGCAAACG
rnacentral:rRNA from 1 species